rnacentral:misc_RNA from 1 species
AAGUUGCGAUACGUAGUGUGAACUGCGUCUAUUAGUGAAUCAUCGAAUCUUUGAACGCACAUUGCGCCGCCCCUCGGGGUGGCAUGCCUGUCUGAGCGUCGCUUCAAAACCUCACCUCCCCCCCAAGUUGGGGGGCGAAGGUGGUCAUGGGCCUCGCCCGCGCCGCCCACGGGCGUGUUUCGGGGGCGUGGCCUGAAAGUCAUCGGUCGCUGGCCCGCCAUGGGUCCUCGGUGUGCGAGUCUUCUUGACGUCUCGCCGGGGCCGACGGAGGGAGCGGAGACCCUAAACCUCUGAACACUUGACCUCAGAUCAGGUAGGAGUACGGGCUGAACUUAA